UUUCACAGCCCUGGCAGCCUGGCUUCUCUGGACCCAACUCAAUAACUUUGCUUCAAGCUCAUUGCAAUUUGUACAGCUCAAAAGAAGGCUCAGAUGAGCACUCCGGUCUGGCUGCUCAUCACUACAUUUCACUUGGCAUGUAGGCUACGGAUGAGGAAUGCACAGAAUUUCCUUUUCCACCCCGUCAGAUCCUCUGUCUUGAGCCUGGCCCAGCCCCAAGAGCACAACGGAUGCAGCUGGAGAAGGGCAGGUCCAAUCUUGCUGCUCAGCUCCAGUGACACUUAACCUCCUCUGCUGCUGAGCUGCUUGCAGCUGGCAGUGGAUGCUAAUGAGCAUCAGCCUACUGAAAUGGCUCAUCAGGGAAGGAAGGGGAGUUGAUUUCUUUGACUGGAGAAGGCAAUAGAAGCUGGAGCUUUUGUGGGAGAAGAUGAUGCUCAAUCUCAGUGAAGGUGGUCUUUGGUUGUGCAGCUUGGUUUUCCUAUUGCUGUCGAUCUGUUUGAUAAGGGAUCGGUGUCCUGCUACUUGUCUGCAGCAGCUGCCUCAUAUCUGCUACCUUAUGGAUCCCUUCCAACUCAGGAUAUCCUAUGAUUCCUCCUUCAUCAUCCUUCUGCUGAACCUGGGACCUCCACAGUGAGCAGCUAAAGAAGGGAUGGAGCUGCAGCAGAAGCAUUCCUGCUCAUAUCAGACAGCUGUGGAUGGCAAUGGGUCAUUUCACUCCAUUAUGGUUUCUGGCAA